AAGCGGCCAAGUGCGAGUCGGACUUGCCCAUGAAGGCGGUUUGCGAUUUAUGACGUAUUAAAAAAAAAAACUACUUACUAGAUCUCGUUCAAACCAAUUUUCGGUAGAAGUUUGCAUGGUAAUGUACAUCAUAUAUUUU